rnacentral:rRNA from 1 species
GGGAACCCUGACGGAGCAACGCCGCGUGCGGGAGGACGGCCUGUGGGUUGUAAACCGCUUUUCUCAGGGAAGAAGUUCUGACGGUACCUGAGGAAUCAGCAUCGGCUAACUCCGUGCCAGCAGCCGCGGUAAUACGGAGGAUGCAAGCGUUAUCCGGAAUUAUUGGGCGUAAAGCGUCCGUAGGCGGUGAGUUAAGUCUGCUGUCAAAGCCUGCAGCUCAACUGUGGAGUGGCAGUGGAAACUGAUUGACUAGAGUGCGAUAGGGGUAGAGGGAAUUCCCAGUGUAGCGGUGAAAUGCGUAGAUAUUGGGAAGAACACCAGUGGCGAAGGCGCUCUACUGGGUCGCGACUGACGCUGAGGGACGAAAGCUAGGGGAGCG